rnacentral:rRNA from 1 species
AUUGAACGCUGGCGGCAUGCCUUACACAUGCAAGUCGAACGGCAGCGCGGACUUCGGUCUGGCGGCGAGUGGCGAACGGGUGAGUAAUACAUCGGAACGUACCCUGUUGUGGGGGAUAACUAGUCGAAAGAUUAGCUAAUACCGCAUACGACCUGAGGGUGAAAGUGGGGGACCGCAAGGCCUCACGCAGCAGGAGCGGCCGAUGUCUGAUUAGCUAGUUGGUGGGGUAAAGGCCCACCAAGGCGACGAUCAGUAGCUGGUCUGAGAGGACGAUCAGCCACACUGGGACUGAGACACGGCCCAGACUCCUACGGGAGGCAGCAGUGGGGAAUUUUGGACAAAGGGGGCAACCCUGAUCCAGCAAUGCCGCGUGUGUGAAGAAGGCCUUCGGGUUGUAAAGCACUUUUGUCCGGAAAGAAAGCGCGCUGGUUAAUACCUGGCGUGGAUGACGGUACCGGAAGAAUAAGCACCGGCUAACUACGUG